CAUUAUACGGAGUUAUACGAUGCUUGGGCGAGAGUAGUACUAGGAUGGGUGACUUCCUGGGAAGUCCUGGUGUUGCAUUCC
rnacentral:rRNA from 1 species